rnacentral:rRNA from 1 species
UGGGGGAUAUUGCACAAUGGGCGAAAGCCUGAUGCAGCGACGCCGCGUGGGGGAUGAAGGCUUUCGGGUUGUAAACCUCUUUCGCUAUCGAACAAGGCCCGCUUAGGGUGGGUUGAGGGUAGGUCGAGAAGAAGCGCCGGCUAACUACGUGCCAGCAGCCGCGGUAAUACGUAGGGCGCGAGCGUUGUCCGGAAUUAUUGGGCGUAAAGGGCUUGUAGGCGGCUUGUUGCGCCUGCUGUGAAAACGCGGGGCUUAACUUCGCGCGUGCAGUGGGUACGGGCAGGCUUGAGUGUGGUAGGGGUGACUGGAAUUCCAGGUGUAGCGGUGGAAUGCGCAGAUAUCUGGAGGAACACCGAUGGCGAAGGCAGGUCACUGGGCCAUUACUGACGCUGAGGAGCGAAAGCAUGGGUAGCGAACAGG